rnacentral:misc_RNA from 1 species
UCCACACAUUCUGGCAAGGACUUGUAACUUCAGCUAGUAUAAGAAGCACAAGAAUCCCAUAAGCUCCAUAGUGAAUCAUGUAUCGGCAAGUCACAAAUACAUAGAGUGUUGCCAGAUGGUGAAGAAUGAAGAGAACAUCAGUAGGGAAGAACAAAAUGUAGUGUAAGAGGUCCAUCAAGAAAUAAGCCAUGCUGAACUCAAGAGCUCUGUUAUGGAAGGUGGAGUUUGAAGAAGCAUAUGAAUGUGAAUUUUUGGUGUGGAGUAGCGCCUGGAUGGCAAAAAUAACAGCAGGAGUGCCGUGAAUUAUGGAAAUGAAACAACUUGAAACUUCUGCUCUGUGUUUUGGACUCCAGCUUCUGAAAAUCACAAAGUAAGCAAGGAGAUACAUGGAGAGAAACAUAAUGAAGGAGGUGGGUAAGUUUAGUGGUGUAUCCAUGUCAGUCUAGCUUCAGGGAAUUCAAUACAGAGAUAUUGAAUAGUUGAAGAAAGGAUGAGGAUAUUUUGGAGCUAAGAAUAUUAAAAGCAUAUAUAGAUUAGAGAAACAUGAGAGGCGCGAGUUCUGUGGAAGAAAAUAUCCGAGCUUCUUAUACAGUUGUACAUAUGGCCUUUCAAUUUUGUCGCUGUCAAUUGCAAAGUAAAGAGGAGUACUAUGGUGGGUGAAUUUAAUGUUGCCGGUAUUUUAGUAAUGGGUCAUAUGAUGAUACAACGAAAAAAAUUUUGAUACGAUCAGGUUCUGUGAAGAAGGAAAGUGAGAAAUUGGUGAUAUGCUUGAUGGGUGUUCCGUC